GGGCGUUAAGUUGCAGGGUAUAGACCCGAAACCCGGUGAUCUAGCCAUGGGCAGGUUGAAGGUUGGGUAACACUAACUGGAGGACCGAACCGACUAAUGUUGAAAAAUUAGCGGAUGACCUGUGGCUGGGGGUGAAAGGCCAAUCAAACCGGGAGAUAGCUGGUUCUCCCCGAAAGCUAUUUAGGUAGCGCCUCGUGAACUCAUCUCCGGGGGUAGAGCACUGUUUCGGCUAGGGGGCCAUCCCGGCUUACCAACCCGAUGCAAACUGCGAAUACCGGAGAAUGUUAUCACGGGAGACACACGGCGGGUGCUAACGUCCGUCGUGAAGAGGGAAACAACCCAGACCGCCAGCUAAGGUCCCAAAGUCAUGGUUAAGUGGGAAACGAUGUGGGAAGGCCCAGACAGCCAGGAUGUUGGCUUAGAAGCAGCCAUCAUUUAAAGAAAGCGUAAUAGCUCACUGGUCGAGUCGGCCUGCGCGGAAGAUGUAACGGGGCUAAACCAUGCACCGAAGCUGCGGCAGCGAC
rnacentral:rRNA from 1 species